rnacentral:rRNA from 1 species
CGUAACACGUAAGGAACCUGCCCUAGAGUGGGGGAUAACAGCCCGAAAGGGUUGCUAAUACCGCAUAUGUACAUCGGAUCGCAUGUUCUGAUGUUUAAAGCCUUGUGCGCUUUAGGAUGGUCUUGCGGCCUAUCAGCUAGUUGGUGGGGUAACGGCCUACCAAGGCUUUGACGGGUAGCUGGUCUGAGAGGAUGGCCAGUCACAUUGGGACUGAGAGACGGCCCAG